rnacentral:rRNA from 1 species
UACGGGGGGGGCAAGCGUUGUUCGGAAUUACUGGGCGUAAAGGGCGCGUAGGCGGUUUGCUAAGUUGGAUGUGAAAACUCUGGGCUUAACCCAGAGCCUGCAUCCAAAACUGGCAAACUUGAGUACUGGAGGGGAAAGCGGAAUUCCUGGUGUAGCGGUGAAAUGCGUAGAUAUUCGCAAGAACACCAGUGGCGAAGGCGGCUCACUGGCCCGGUACUGACGCUGAGGUGCGAAAGCGUGGGGAGCAAACAGG